AUUGAACGCUGGCGGCAGGCCUAACACAUGCAAGUCGAACGGUAGCACAGAGAGCUUGCUCUCGGGUGACGAGUGGCGGACGGGUGAGUAACGUCUGGGAAACUGCCCGAUGGAGGGGGAUAACUACUGGAAACGGUAGCUAAUACCGCAUAACGUCGCAAGACCAAAGUGGGGGACCUUCGGGCCUCACACCAUCGGAUGUGCCCAGAUGGGAUUAGCUAGAAGGUGGGGUAAUGGCUCACCUAGGCGACGAUCCCUAGCUGGUCUGAGAGGAUGACCAGCCACACUGGAACUGAGACACGGUCCAGACUCCUACGGGAGGCAGCAGUGGGGAAUAUUGCACAAUGGGCGCAAGCCUGAUGCAGCCAUGCCGCGUGUAUGAAGAAGGCCUUCGGGUUGUAAAGUACUUUCAGCGGGGAGGAAGGCGGUGAAGUUAAUAGCUUCACCGAUUGAUGUUACCCGCAGAAGAAGCACCGGCUAACUCCGUGCCAGCAGCCGCAGUAA
rnacentral:rRNA from 1 species